UGACGACCGGCGCACGGGUGAGUAACGCGUAUGUAACCUUCCUUUAACUGGGGGAUAGCCCGGAGAAAUUCGGAUUAAUACCCCAUAACAUUGCGGAGAGGCAUCUUUCUGCAAUUAAAGCUCCGGCGGUUAAAGAUGGGCAUGCGUGCCAUUAGCUUGUUGGUGAGGUAACGGCUCACCAAGGCUACGAUGGUUAGGGGGUCUGAGAGGAUGAUCCCCCACACUGGUACUGAGACACGGACCAGACUCCUACGGGAGGCAGCAGUGAGGAAUAUUGGGCAAUGGGCGCAAGCCUGACCCAGCCAUGCCGCGUGAAGGAUGAAUGCCCUAUGGGUUGUAAACUUCUUUUGUACGGGACGAAUCUCUCGAACGUGUUCGGGACUGACUGUACCGUACGAAAAAGCAUCGGCUAACUCCGUGCCAGCAGCCGCGGUAAUACGGAGGAUGCAAGCGUUAUCCGGAUUCAUUGGGUUUAAAGGGUGCGUAGGCGGAAGAAUAAGUCAGUGGUGAAAGCCUGCGGCUUAACCGUAGAAUUGCCAUUGAUACUGUUUUUCUUGAGUAUAGUUGAGGUGGGCGGAAUGUGUAAUGUAGCGGUGAAAUGCUUAGAUAUUACACAGAACACCAAUUGCGAAGGCAGCUCACUAAGCUGUUACUGACGCUGAGGCACGAAAGCGUGGGGAGCAAACAGGAUUAGAUACCCUGGUAGUCCACGCCGUAAACGAUGAUCACUCGUUGUUGGCGAUACACUGUCAGCGACUGAGCGAAAGCAAUAAGUGAUCCACCUGGGGAGUACGGUCGCAAGACUGAAACUCAAAGGAAUUGACGGGGGCCCGCACAAGCGGAGGAACAUGUGGUUUAAUUCGAUGAUACGCGAGGAACCUUACCUGGGCUUGAAAGGGGAUUGACCUCCCGGGAAACCGGGAUUCUCUUCGGAGCAAUCUCCUAGGUGCUGCAUGGUUGUCGUCAGCUCGUGCCGUGAGGUGUCGGGUUAAGUCCCAUAACGAGCGCAACCCCUAUUGUUAGUUGCCAGCGGGUAAUGCCGGGAACUCUAACGAAACUGCCGGUGUAAACCGAGAGGAAGGUGGGGACGACGUCAAAUCAGCACGGCCCUUAUGUCCAGGGCUACACACGUGUUACAAUGGCCGGUACAAAGGGCAGCUAUGCCGCGAGGCAAUGCUAAUCUCGAAAACCGGUCUCAGUUCGGAUCGAAGUCUGCAACUCGACUUCGUGAAGCUGGAUUCGCUAGUAAUCGCGCAUCAGCAACGGCGCGGUGAAUACGUUCCCGGGCCUUGUACACACCGCCCGUCAAGCCAUGGAAGCUGGGGGUACCUGAAGUCUGUAACCGCAAGGAACGGCCUAGGGUAAAACCAGUGACUGGGGCUAAGUCGUAACAAGGUA
rnacentral:rRNA from 1 species